rnacentral:lncRNA from 1 species
UCUUUGUGCUGUUUCGGGAACGUUCUUUCGGUAAAAAGAUCUCUAAAAGGUAAAAAUGGGAAAGAAAGCUCCGUCGGCUGUUCCAAUUCGGGGAGUCCAAGGUGGAAGAAUAGGAUCUUCUUAGGGUUAAAGGAGAGGAUAGGUUAAGAAAUGAGGGGGGAAAAAUUAGGGAUGAGGGAAGACUGAGGCAAUCGUUGCUGAAAGUCAGUAUUGUAUUGGUGAACUGGAUUUUUUUCGUAAGAGAGAAAAAUCUGAUACUCUUGAUUGUUGAUGAAAUAGGGGAUACUUCUGUGGUUGAAAUUCAGAAUUGUCUAGAAGGUUGAGUAUGCUGAAUGCAUACGUUGUUGUGUUAAUCUGAUUAUAUGGAUAGAGGAUAUCUGCCAACAGUUUAAACAGGUAUUGGGAGUUGACAAAUUGGGAGAUUGUUUAGGGUUUCUAUGAUAAUUGAGGACCUACCGACAGGGAUAAGAAGAAUAUCAGCGAGCGGCCAAGGGACAUCAGUGCAGAUUGGAGCAUAGCCUCACAAACUGUAAGCGGGGUUGAAUUGGAACUUCUUGAGCAUUCAAAAGGGCUUGCUAAGACACUAGCGAUAGAUGUUUCACAAUAAGUCAGAAGGAUAGAUUGAGGAUCACAGCUUAUCAAAGUUCACUGUCUAGGAUUAAAGUAAUUAACGAUAAAGAUAAAAUAAAAAACAUAAAAUAAAUAAAAUAAAAUAAAAAUAACAAAAGAGAUUGAAGUUAUAUAGGGUCUUUAGGCGUUUUAUAUUGGAAUUAAGCUUUUAUAUUGCAAUCCGAUAUAGAUCGUAUUUGGGUAGUGAAGAACACGAUAGACUGCUUGAGUACUACCGAAACACCAUACUACUUCCUACAACCAGACGCCCGGCGCAUUCUCAAGCAAGAUAGCAUGUAAUACGACAUAAGUGGUGAACCCGGCGUGGAAGCUUGAGGUGGAAGGUAUUGGACUUCGUUUGAUUUUAUUUUUAUUUUUAUGGAUAAUGAAAAUAAAAAUUUUGAAGGAUCUUUGGGAAGAGUUUCUGGUGGGGGUUUUUCUAAAGGACAAGGUAUGCACAUGGAUCCGUCUAUUGCUAGUAUGUUUCAAGCCUUCUCAUUAUCAAUGCAACAACAGCAAAGCAAUGAUCGAAAAGAAGCUUUGGCAACCAAAGCAUUGCAAGCAGUAGUCAAUAAAAUUGAUCAAUUUGAUGGAAGGAAUAUUUCAAGGUAUUUAAGAUGUUAUGUUCGUGAAAUGAAAUUAAAUCGGGUUUCUGAGAAGAAAAUGGUUGAAUUAUUUGGACUUGCCACGAUAUCGGAGAUAAGAGACUAUAUUACAUCAAUUACGGAUCGUUAUGGAAAUUCAUGGCAGGUUUUUUCACAUGCAUUGAAAGACGAAUAUUUCUUGGAAGAUGUUGAUUGCGUUACUAAGAAGCUGUUUCUGAAAUGGAUUGAACGGCCUAAUAAGAAUUUGCAAGCAACAGAGCUACUAAGGAAAUUUGAGAGGCAGUACUCUCAAUUAUCAAAGGUAGAAAAAUUGACAUUGGAGUCGAACAAAGUUGAUCUAUUUCUUCAAGCUGCUGAUGGAGAAUUGCAAGGAAAAUUAGAACUCCUUCUUGAAGACAAAGAAGAAGAUGAAGGAUUGACAAUAAAGUAGAAGAACGUUAAAGAUGCGGUGGGGUUGCUUACAAAAAGAGAAAGGAGGAAGGAUAGGAGCAAUAUUCCGAAAAUAAUAUAAGCACCCAAAGCUCUAAUACGUACAAUACCACCAACAAUGCCUACAGUUCAACCUUCUACAUCCUUAUCAAAGAAAGCAGAUAUGGGGAUGGAAGAAAUUAUACGAGGAAUGUGAGAUCUUCAAAUCAAAUUAGCAAGACUUGAAGAGAAUACUUCUACAAACAAUUUGAAGAAUGUUUCAAAACAAGGAUAUGUACAAAGAUGCAUUUGGUGUGAUGACGCUUCACUUACUAGGAAAGAUUGCAAUGAAUUUAAUAAUAUGAUACGGCAAGGAAUUAUUUGCUGGAAAGAUGGGAAGAUAGCAUUAAAAGAUAGGGAAGAUCUUCUUCAAACCAAUUUUGGCAAGGGAGGAAUGAGAGCAUUGGUUCAAGAUUACUUAAAAGAACAUGAAACAGCAGCACGAGAAAGUGCAAGUUAUGGUGCUAGAGUAGAUGAUGACCUUGGUGGAAGUAGAGAAAUUAGUAAGUUUUGGGCUUCUGCCAUUUGUACAAUGCAAGAAGGGAAAUUACCUCGAGAAGUAUUAUUGAGGACUACAGCUACAAUGCAAGGUGCAACAGGUUGAGAGGAUCCUAUUGAGUCUCUUUCAGUUCAAGCAUAUAAUGCUAAGAGCCAACAUGAAGCUUUGAUGGAAGAAAAGAGAUGAGGAAAUUUUGAUGAUACGAGAGAAGGAAAUUCUUCUAAGAGGCAAAUUCGAGGAGACAAGGCUUGAAAGGCAGCUUUACAAGAAUUGUCUGUAAAAGAUACCUCAAUAUCAUUGAAAGAAAAAACAAGGGAGACAAAAGAUAAGAGCAAAUCAAUUGCUUAUAAGCUACUUUCUGACAUUGAAGCGGCAACAAAUUUGAAAGGAGUAUUGAAAGAACGUAUAUUAAAUGCUAAGGUAGAAUUCACAUUGAAACAAGUUUUAAAAAUUGCAAAGAAAGAGUUUCAUGAUAUUAUCAUUGAGAGCAUUAAAUGAAAGAAGCAAUUAAUGGAUGGAACUAGAAUGAAUCAUGCUAUUGAUGCAAGAAUAUAUAAAGAUGAAGAAGAGGUUGAUAUUGGUUACAAGCAACCAACAAAUGAAAAGAAUGGGUAUAAUCAACGAGUACAUUUUGAAGAUUAUAGUGAUAAGGAAAUAGAAACUUUAAGCUAUUAUACUCGAAAGCAUUGGGCAAGGGCAAAUACGGAGAUAUUGGUGAAAGUAGGAGAUAUAGAAGAACCAAUUGUUGCUUUAGUCGACUAUGAUUCUGAAAUAAAUCUUAUGUCUAAAGAUCUUUAUAAGAAGCAAAAAUGGCCAAUUGAUAUGGAACAUGGAUGGGCAAUACGAGGAGCAAAUAACACACGGGGCAAAUUAUAUGGAGCUUGUCUAGAUGUCAAAAUUUGGAUUGAGGAUGUUGCGACGGAGCAACAUUUCUUUGUUCAAGAUACAAUGUCUUAUCAGUUGAUUUUAGGACAACCUUAUAUUAUGGCAAUACGGAUGGAAACAAAAGUACUUGACGAUGGUUCUGCUUAUACAAGGGUACGUAGCGAAGAUGGGAGAAAAGUUGUACAAUUUCUAACAGUACCUCCUAAUCAUGAACGAAAUCGAGAUAGGUAGAGGGAGAAACCAUUGCCAAAGAUUGUUGAAGGAUUUAAGGAUUUUGGGGAGGUACCACUAUAAAGCGAGAUUAUGGAGGUAUAAAACAAGAGGUACUCUCGCGAGAUGAAGGUACCUUUGAUGCAAGUUUUAUUGGUAUUUGUAAUCGUCGUUUGACUCGGACUCAAAACACUAAGAUAUUUGAUGAGUAUAGGUGGGUUCGAUCUCGGGGAAAGACUCGUUGUAUGAAUUGGAUAUGUUAUGUCACAAUUGAUUAUCUAUUAAUUAUCUAAAACUUCCAAAGUUCUCUUCCUCAUCUUAAUUCAAUCCCUUCACAAUCUCUACAAUCGUUCACUGCCCUGCAGCUACUCAAUAUCACUAACAUUCCUGACAUCUACAGGAUGCUUAAUCUCUUUCCACAGUACUUCAAUUCUCAAUUCUUUUACUUUUACUCAAUCUUCCAGUGCUACUAACACAAUGCAAUAAUCUCUAUUAUCACAAUCACACUUUCUUUCUCCAACUUAAUUAAUUCGAAUUCAUAAUUUUUAAUAUCUCAAUCACAGUUUCAGCAAUCCUUUUCUUAAAUCCAAUACUAAAAAAAAACACAAAAGCAAAGAAAACAAAAGGGUAGCUCCAAGCUUUACCCUGGCUCACGACUAUCACAGUCUGGCCCCUAUUCCUUCUUCCUCAACCUCUUUAUCCUACCAAAAUAUGAAUCGUCAUUCAGCAGAUUCCAUAGGUUGUGAAACUUUGGCUUUUUAACCACAUAUGUUCCUAAUUUCUUACUAUUAACAACUAAUCGAACUAACCAUUCAUCUAAAUCCCAACAUUACUACUAUUUAACCGAUAACGAACCUGAAAAGUCAUUUAUACAUUCUACAUAACUCCACUCCUUACUGUGCAGUGUCCUCACAAACCACCUCGUACUACGUUUUACAAUAUCACCACAUCAUUGGCUUCCUCCAAUGUCUGAACCUCUGGUCCGCCUUGGUCCAUUUCAUCAUUUCCAUAAGUGAGAUUGGUUUCGAUUUCUUGAGCUUCUUCUUCAACUCCCUCUCCCACCUAUUCUCCGUUCAAUAAAGCUGUCAAGUCUUCGUUAAGUGCUCCCAAUUUUGGAACCUGAGACUCCAAAAGCACAAUUUGGGUGUCUCGCUCUUUCAGCUGCUCCUCCAGGGCAUGCACUUGUUUCUCUAAUUCCCGUAAAGAUGUACUUGCUGGAUUGACCCCUCCUUGCUGCGUGGUAACUGUAAUCAUUUCUGCCUCCAAUUCAGCAAUCCUUCUCUUCAAUUGCUCAUUCUCCGUCUUCGAGCUCUCCGAUUGUCUCUGAAAAUCGUCCUCCAAUUUGGAUCUCCUGGCUUCCAAUUCCGCCACCCUAUUCUUCUCCUCCUGGUAUUGGUUCCGCAACUCCAUACACUCCUGCUUGGUAAGCUCCAUCAGACUCUUUGCCAACUUGUUCUCCUUGGCCCAUUCCGCUUGGGUCUCCUUGAAUUGGUGCUCUAAUCUUGAAUAUUUGAGAGCGUCCGUUACUGAAGCACGUUGUAAAUCUCUUAUCUUCUUCUUCUGAUCCUCAAUGAUCUUGUCCUUCUCCUCUAGUACCUGUCUAAGGCUAAACUCAUUGUCCAUUUUCUCAACGGCCAUCUGUAAUUGAGUAAUUUGUGCUGAGAUUAACUCCUUGAGUUCUCUUGCCUGCUGGUCAGCUCUCGAUAAACCUACCCGUUGAUAAUACUCUACCAGUACUAGUGGAGUGACGGCCAUAUUAAUACUCGGAUGACCCAAUUCUCUAGAUGACGAGCUGACAUUGGUCCGUUCGUAAUUUCUAGCUUGGCUGCACUCUACUAUCGCCGCUUCCUCAACUAAUUUUGAUGGCAAUGGCAUUGACUCUACUCUUGUCUCUGUUGCUACAGCGUCUAGUCUCUCCACCAUUGAAGGUUGCUUCAGUUGAUAUCUAAUUGCUUUACACACGUAGUUAGAGCAUAAUAUCGUGGUAACCUUCCCUGUUCUUCUUUUCACGUCUAAUUCCGCAUGGAUUCUGGUCGCAACAUACGCUGCCCAGUUGAAGACCAUCCCCUCCAGCGUCGCAAUUGCUGAAAACGAUAACCUCCUUGCCAUAUACGUCGAAUGUCGGUUCAGCCUUAAUCGCUUCUGCACAAACUGCAUCCAUUCUCCCAGCUCCAACGUAAGCGCAUCCACUGUCUUCCACCCUUGAUUUUUCUCAAACGCUUCGUUUUCCGACUUGAAGUACUUGCUUGGAACAAAAUCAGACUCCAAGUCUCCCGAUAUCGGUAGCUCACCCAUGGGAAGAUAUAGAACCUUGUUCAACGUCACCUCAUCUAUACCAAUAAUUCUCCCAUGAACCACACUAGACCCGUCUUCCGGAUCAUAAUUCGUCACAUAUUCCGUUAACAAUGCUAUAUCUAUUGGUGGUAGCCUCUGCGAAAACUUCACAAACCCAUACAUCUGUGCCGUGCAAAACUCUCUCUGUCUCCUUUGCGACCAAAAAAUGUCCAUAGCGACCGGCUCCAUGCUGAUCACUAUCACGCACUCCAUUGGUGGCAAUGAUCCCUUUGUCUUGAUAUUACGCUGUCGCUCCUCUCUCGUAGCUGUCCUCUUCUUACGCUCAAUCACCAUCUUCGCUACUCAUGAUAAUCCUCUAAAACCUAUACUUAGCAACGUGAAUCAAGAAAUUACAAUGUAAACAAUGCCAGCCAAGAGUCCCACUCCUAACUUCUACCCUGGUUCUCCUCUUGAUAUGUCUUAACCUAACAGGCCUGUAACAACCUAUCCUAUUAGUGUCUUCCUGACGGCUCACCUUCACUCAACCCGUCCAUAAUCUCAUCAUCGCACGCUCUUCCCUUCUCAUCACAACUCUUGCGAUGUCACUUCAAUACUAAAUUGGCUUUUUCUCUCCCCCCCCACCGAUAUAAAACCCGUCCCGGAUUUAUGUAGUAUACAGACGUAGCCGAUUCCCAUUUAUACGCGUGGUAAAUUUAGCACCCAUAAAGUCUUCCAAUUGGACUGAGCCAUUGGGAAAACCCUCAAUGACUCUGUACGACCCAUGCCACCGAAUAUGAAAUUUUCCUGAAAAAUUUUUAAAACGACUGUCAUAAAGCAGUACCAAAUCAUUGGGCAUAAAAAAUUUUGGUUUUAAUUUACUAUCAUAAUAACUUUUCCGUCGCCUUUGAGUGGCCUCCUGUCUCAAUAGGGCAUUGGUUCGAGUUUCAUCCAACUGCUCCAAUUGUACGAAACAAACUUGUAACGACUCAGAAUCCCCCAAUCGUUCCUCCAAUGCAAUGCGCAAACUUUGAACUUCGAAUUCGAUAGGUAAUAUUGCUUCCUGACCAUAAACUAAUUGAAAGGGUGUGACAUUAGUCGUAACUUUAUAUGCAGUACGGUAUGCCCACAAAGCGGCAAACAAUUUAGUGUCCCAAUUCGUGCCUGCACCAGAUAUUGUCUUGGUGAUAAUUGUACAUAAUAUGCCGUUGGUCUUUUCUGUUUGGCCAUUUGCUCUAGGAUGAUAUGGUGUCGUCUUGCGGUGUUUAAUCUCAUAUUUAGCAGUCAAUGCUUCAAUUGUAGUAUUAAUGAAAUGGAUUCCUCGAUCACUGACCAAUUCUUUUGGACAGCCAAACCGUGUAAUAAUAUUUUCAUAUAAGAAUGUGGCUACAUCACUAGCACUAUCAAAUUUUGUUGCCUUCGCUUUCGCCCAUUUGGUAACAUAGUCUGUGGCAACCAAUAUAUACUAUUUUUGUCCAUGGCGAGAGGCAGAUGCAAUUGGGCCCACGAAAUCAAUACCCCAUUUUUUAAAAGGUGCCUGUGCCAGAAUUGGAACUAAUGGCAUCGCGGAUGUACCUGUAGGACGACCAAUUUGCUGGCACGGGUCACAACGACGUGCAAACUGGUGAGCAUCUGCAAACAUUGUCGGCCACCAAUAUCCCGCCUGUAAAACUUUGCGUGCUGUGUUGUCGCCUGCAAAAUGUCCCCCACAACUAUCCAAAUGACAUCCUUCCAAUAUAGUGCAUGCUUCAUUCUGAUAAAUGCAACGGCGUAAAAUUCUGUCUUUCCCUUGUUUAUAUAAAGUUUCUCCAAUCAUAGUAUAAGGUGCGCUUUUCAAAACCAAUCUUCUCUUAAGCUUCUCCGUAAAAUGGAAAGGAAAAGUUUGAAAAGUCAAAUACUGUAUCAAUUCGCUAUAUUCCGCCGUAAUUAGGUCGACAAGAAAUAACUCAGCGUCAGGUAAUGCAUUAGGAAUGGGUUCAUUUCUCAAUAUAUUGGACAGUCGCGAUAGAUGGUCCGCAUUGGCAUGCAACUUCCCAGGCCGUACAUUAAUAGUAAAAUCAAAUUCUUGUAAAAGCAAUAUCCAUCUUGCGAUGCGGCCACUCAACUGGGACUUGUUAAUCAUAUAUUUUAAAGUGUCAUGAUCCACGAGGAAGACAAAUUUAUAUCCAAGAAGAUAAUGCCAAAACUUUUGGACAGAAUAAAUCAUUUUCAAAGCCUCUCGCUCAGUUGUAGUGUAAUUCCGUUCGGCAGCCACCAACUGACGGCUUGCAUAAUAAAUAGGAUGAUCGUGGCCCUUGUCAUCCUUCUGGCUCAAUACCGAACCAAUCGCAACAUUAGAGGCAUCAACAUAAACCUCAAAAGAUUUUGUCCAACAAGGGGCAACCAAUAUUGGUGCAGAAAUCAAUUUUUGUUUUAAUGUUUCAAACGCAACUGUACAUUCCUUGGUCCAAAUUGGUUCGAGAUUGUCCAGUAGUUGUCAAUGGAAUACAGAUAACAGCAAAUAGAUAAAUAAAAUGUCGAUAAUAGCUAACAUGCCCAAUAAAGGUGCGAACACCUGUCACUGUAUCGGGUAUUUGGAGUUCUAGUAUAAUUUUUAUUUUAUCCGGAUCGGAGGCGAUCCUUAUUUUCGAUACGAUAUGACCCAAUAAUUUUCCUGAGGGUACCCCAAAUUUAUAUUUUUCUGAAUUCAAAGAAAUUCCAAAUUUAGCACAUUUGCCUAAGCACCGACCCAAUUUGUCUAAGUGUUCUUCUCUGGUGCUGAAUGUGCAGAAAUCAUCUAAAAAGAUUUCCAUUGAAAUCCGUAGCUCAUCUUGGAAUGCUUGCAUCAUCACCCUCUGAAAUGUAGCUCGCGCAUUACAAAGUCCGAAAGGCAUGACCUUAUAAGCAAAAGUUCCCCAAUCCGUAGUAAACGUAGUCUUUAAUUGAUCCUCCUUUGCAAUUUGUACGUGAUUAUAUCUGGAAAAACCAUCAAGAAACGAAUAACAUUCGUGGCCUGCUACUGCGUCUAAGAUACUAUCCGUAAAUGAUAAAGGAAAGUAAUCCUUCUUUGUAGCAGCAUUCAACUUUCAAAAAUCUUGGCAAAUUCGGACUUUCCCGUUCUUCUUGGGAACCAUAACUAUCGACGAAACCCAUUCACUAUGUGGUACAAGAUAUAUAAAUCCCACCUCCAGAAGCUUAUCCAAUUCUUCCUUUACCAUCAACGAAUAUUUAGGAUUCAGUCGAUGUUGCCUUUGUCGUACUGGUGUAGCCGUGUCCUCCAAUUUUAUUCAAUGCUCACAAACUUCAGCUGGAAUAUCCUUCAAAUCUUUAUAAGACUAAGCAAAAGCUGAUUUAUGUUUUAUAAAAUAAUCUGUCCAAAGCUCUUUAGUUUUACCCGUUAUACCAUCAUAAAUUUGAAUCAAUUUGGGAUUAUCAUUUGUGCCUAGAUUUAUUGAUUGACACUUUGGUCCAUUAAGAGCUUCAGCAGUAAUCUUUUGCUCUGUUUCGGGAUCUUUCAUAAACUCCGACAAAUUGGAGCUUUCCAAUUCGGGAUCUAUAGCACCAACUUGAUUAACAUCUCUUCGCUGCAUCCAGUGUGCAAUCAUAUGAUCUGAAUCAUCAAUAACGUCUGGACGAACAAAAUAUUCUCCUGGUCCUCCACAAUGGUAAAUAUUCCUAUUUUGUACUGUAACUUCUCGUGCCUCGACAGCCUUUGAUUUUGAAACAACCAGUUUUUCUUCCAUAUACUCCUGUUCGCAGUCCGAUGUAUAUACUGGACUGGUAAUUUGAGUUUCUCCAUGAUACUGGACAGGAUACAUUUGGAGCACUAUUUUAUCCUUAUACUUUCCAAUUGUUAGCGUUCCACGACCCCAAUCGUUUCGAGCUUCAGCUUGAUAUAGCCACGGUCGACCCAACAAAAUUACAUAUGACAAUACUAGGCUUUGCAAUCGAAAUAUAAUAUAAUCAAUUGUGUAUGUAAUCCCCGCAACAACUGUAUCAAUUCCUCAUAAAGUACCCAUAGGUCGGACUCGACUUGAAUCUGCCAUUCACAAAACAACCGUAGUUGGCAUUAAUUGGUCCAAUCCCAAUUCUUCCAUUGUAUCCACAUUCAUGAGGUUAACGCUAGCCCCGCCAUCCACUUGUACACCCUGAACUAAUACUCCAUCAAUUGAUACAUCAAUAGUCGGCGCGCUUGGAUCCGGAUUCAAACUUACUUCAUGAAUUUCUUUUUGACGAGUUCUUCGUCGAAUCAAAGAAGAGUUUAAGGUGUUACGACAUUCUGGUGCUACUGCCAAUAAUUGCUUUAUUGUGAUUGUUGGUUGAAUUGAACCUAAAUCCUUCAGAAUAUCAUAGGGUUCCAUAUUGGUCAUGAUUCCCAAAAUCUUUUUUUUCUUACGGAUUUCAGAUCCCGGUCCCCGUAUAUUGGUACUUCCAAUAUCAGGAAUUGGUACUUCCUCGAUUUUUGGUUGCAACUGCUCCUUGAAAAUUGGAUCCUUUAACUGGUGUGACUGUCCACCGUAUUGGUGUAAUAUUGGUACUUAUGAAAUUGGUAGACGCACCAAUAUAUUGGUCAAAUUGGGUUAUGACGGUGAUGCUUCAUCCAAUAAUGGAGCAGAUUUUGGUAUUGGUCUGUUGACCGGGGAUGGUAUCGAUUUCUCCAAUAUUUGAAUUGGUUCUUUGCCUUUUUGCUAAUUUCUUGUCAAUACUGCGUGAAUCGCUUCCACCCGAUGUACCGGUGAUUCCUGUGGUUUGUUUGUUUCUUCUAUAAUUUGCACUGUUGAUGUCAUGUGCUGGUCCCUACUAUUUGGAUUAAAAGGCACAUUACAUUGGUAGUGGUAAUGACCAGAUUGCUUAUAAUUUGCGUAAAGAGGUGCGUAUUCUUCGACAAAUCUUGGGUUGUUGCAAUCCUUUACAUAAUGACCCAAUUGGCGCCAUCGAAAACAACGAACUGGUUUUCUUCCUAUCCCGUCAGGUACAUUGGGAGUUUCCAUCGAGAUAUACCUUCCAGGUCGGUUUCAUGUUGGUGCAGUGAAGGAUCCAAGUUGACUAGUUGUCGCCAUUGCUGAAUUGGUCUGUUGUAUUGGCAUCGAUGGUUGAUUUCCCAUUUGAUUUUGGCCACCAUUCUGCAUAUUGGUCCCGUAGAGCUGAUUAUAGUUAGGAUUUUGGAAAUUUCCGAAACCACGAUUCACUCUAUUAUUUCUAUUUCCAUUCCAUCCACCCAUAUUUCCUGUUUGCACUUGAUUUACAUCCCAUACAGUUGGUUGUAUCAUUGUUUGUUGUCUUGGUAAGUACCAACAAUUGGCAGUGUUAUGCUUUCCUCCACAAUACAUACACUGUCCCAUCUUCUGAUGAGGCGAGGGGCAUUCCGUAUCAAAGUGUCCCUGUCCUUUACAGUUGUUACACCAUACAUUAGGUCUCAUAUUAGAAUGUUUAUGCCUUUUCUCUUUAUCUUUAGUCAUAUGCACGGCUAAUUCUUCCAUUUUCUUCGUUAGAUUUAACAAUAGAGCUUCGUUAGAAUCGUUAAUUGUUGCAUUCAUUGGUACUUCAGGUUGUCUAUAUGCCAUCGGCGAAGGAUAAGUUGCCACGGGUGGUAUCACUUGCAAAGGAGUGGCAUUAACUACUCCUUGAGAAUUGGGAUUUCCCAUACUAGGCGCAAUCAUUCGUGGGUAGCUCCCUAUCAUCGUAUUGGUCAUUGGAACUUGAUUUCCUACACUAGGAAUCAUUGUGGUUCCCACCAUCAACAGUUGAUCAUAAUGGCACUCCUCCCACAUCUUUGCACGUGCUAAGGAGGCAGCUACCGUAACUGGUUGAGACUCCUUAACAAACAUCUUCAAUUCUGGGGGAUGCAACUCAUUCACUAUUAUUGACAAUAUAAACGCAUCUGGUAUUUGAUUGUUUGGCCAUUUACGUAAUAUAUCUGCAACUCGGCCAUAAUACGACUGCAUCGAUUCUCCCACAAACAUUUUACUGUUCAGCAAAUUUUCUCGAAGACGAUCUUCUAAUCCUAUUGAUCAAAAAUGAGUUAAGAAAGCAUUUUUUAAUGCUUCCCAAUUAGGAAAUUGUCCCACUGGUUGUCAAAUAUACCAUUCAAAUGCUGUAUCUUUUAAAGUCGCUGGCAGCCAUCGCAGCCAGACAUCUUCAGUUCUGCCAUUAUCGGCUACACACGCUGUCAAAAAUUGGGACAGGUGUUGAUCGGGAUCACAACCCGGCCAUCCAUUAAACGUGGGUAAUAGAGCCACGCUGGUGGUGCGAUCUCCAAUUGCUCCCAUCUGUACCGCUUUUGGCUUUGCGGGUGUUUCUUCUGCCAUUGGUGCUUGCGCUGGUCUUCUUGCUAUAUUAAUAUGAAUUCUUCUUUUUGUUCCAAUUUGAUAUUUGCUCACUCUUCUUUCUUGUAAACUAUCGCUAUUAUUCAAUUCUUUUGUACUUAAACUUCUUAUAAUUACUGAACUUGACUCUGACGCUUCGUUACUCGCGGUAUCCCCUACAAGCGCUCGCAGUAAUUUCUCCAAUGGUAUAUAAUGGUGUAAUAUUGUACUUCUUUCAGAACUUGAAUAUGCUCGAAUACUCGCACAUGCAUGCAGCCACGGCUUUAUCCAACUCUAUCGAUGUUUCUUACGUUGAAUCCCUUCUUGUUGUUGUCGUAAUAAAUUUCUGAAAUAAAAUUGCUCCUGUCUUUCCUUUACUUGUUGAUUCCUUCUGUAAUUAACAUAGUCGUAAUCACCGCUCUUACUCCUUCUAUCUCGUCUUUUGUACCAUCAAUUCUUUAACAUUUCAUACUGUUCUCAAUCCCCGACAGCGGCGCCAAAAAUGUAAUCGUCGUUUGACUCGGACUCAAAACACUAAGAUAUUUGAUGAGUAUAGGUGGGUUCGAUCUCGGGGAAAGACUUGUUGUAUGAAUUGGAUAUGUUAUGUCACAAUUGAUUAUCUAUUAAUUAUCUAAAACUUUCAAAGUUCUCUUCCUCAUCUCAAUUCAAUCCCUUCACAAUCUCUACAAUCGUUCACUGCCCUGCAGCUACUCAAUAUCACUAACAUUCCUGACAUCUACAAGAUGCUUAAUCUCUUUCCACAGUACUUCAAUUCUCAAUUCCUUUACUUUUACUCAAUCUUCCAGUGCUACUAACACAAUGCAAUAAUCUCUAUUAUCACAAUCACACUUUCUUUCUCCAACUUAAUUAAUUCGAAUUCAUAAUUUUCAAUAUCUCAAUCACAGUUUCAGCAAUCCUUUUCUUAAAUCCAAUACUAAAGAAAAACACAAAAACAAAGAAAACAAAAAGGUAGCUCCAAGCUUUACCCUGGCUCACGACUAUCACAGUCUGGCCCCUAUUCCUUCUUCCUCAACCUCUUUAUCCUUCCAAAAUAUGAAUCGUCAUUCAGCAGAUUCCAUAGGUUGUGAAACUUUGGCUUUUUAACCGCAUAUGUUCCUAACUUCCUACUAUUAACAACUAAUCAAACUAACCAUUCAUCUAAAUCCCAACAUUACUACUAUUUAACCGAUAACGAACCAGAAAAAUCAUUUAUACAUUCUACAGUAUUUUGGAGAAUGGAAAUAUUAUGUAUAAGAAAGUUGAUGAUUUUAAAAGAAAAGAAAGAAAAAGAUUAUAUAAUAUUGAAGGAGAAUUAUGCAAGUUAGGUACAUUACAAGAUGAUGAGAGGAUUUUAGGUGUUUAUGAAGAAAAUGGACUGGAAGGUUCAUUGGAAUUGAUUACAUCUAUUGGGUUAGGGAAUAAUGAUAAGAUUGUUAAGAUUCAUUCAAGAGAGGUUUAUACCAUACUUGAAUCUUUUCAAGCACCAAAAGUCACAGUAGAGACGAGAUAUAAAACGGCAGAUAAGAAAGUAAAGCCUGUUACCGGACCAUUAUCAGAAGAUUCUAAGAAACAAAUGGGAGAAGCAUCAAAAGAAGCAAGUUUAAGAGAUCCAAUGAGUAUUGAACAUCAGUUUACUAAAGAGACUUUUGAAGAAUUGAAGAUUGGUUCUGAUGGUUCUUUAUUGUCGGAAGAAAUUACUUACUUCAAAAAGAUGUUGGCUAAACAAGAUAGAUCAUUUGCCUUCAAAUCUUAUGAAAUUGGGUGUGUGGAUCCGAAUAUUAUAACACCUAUGGUUAUUUUCACUGUACUGCAUGUACCUUGGAAUCUAAGACCGAUUCCACUACCAAAGACAUAUUUACCUAAAUUGGUGGAACUAUUAAAAGAAAAGAUGAAGAUAAAAAUAUUGGAACCCUCAUUUGCGCCGUAUUCUAGUCAAUGGUUUAUGGUACCUAAGAAGAAUGGGUCACUACGGUUUAUUCAAGAUAUGCAACCUGUGAAUGCAGUAACAGUCAGGAAUACAGGAAUUUGACCUAUUGUGAAUGAAUUUCCUGAGGCGUUUAUAAGAAGGGCGAUCUAUUCAAUAGGUGACUUGUAUUCAGGUUAUGAUCAAUUUCAACUUGCCGAAGGAAGUAGAGAUAUAACGACAAUGAGGACACCACUUGGAUUGGUUAGAAUGUGCACUCUUCGUCAAGGCGCGACCAACUCAGUUGCACAUAUGAUGAAUGGAAUGAAUAAGGUAUUGAGAGAUUUUAUUCCGGAAAAGACUAUGCCUUUUCUAGACAAUGUUCUUAUAAAAGGGUGCAGAGAAGGAGACAAGGAUGAAACUUUAGAUAAGAAGGGGUGUCACAAAUAUGUUGUUAAUCAUAUACAAGAUUGUGAGAAGAUUUUAACUCGGCUUAGAGAAGUUCAUCUUACAUUAUCGAGUAUGAAGUCCGUAUUUGGAAUACAAGAGGUUGUAAUUGUUGGACAUUUAUGUGGAUCUUACAGAAGAAAACCAGAUCUGACUAAAGUUGAUGCAAUUGGAAGGAUGAAAGAGGAUUGUGAUUCUUUAACAGAGGUUCGUAGGUUUUUAGGUGCAUGUAUAUUUUAUCGAAUCUGGAUCCCUCAUUUUGUUCAUACAGCGGAUACAUUAUAUGAACUGUUACGCAAAGGCUACGAAUUGAAAUGGAAAGGAAGGCAUAUUCAGGCAAUGCAAAGAUUGAAGAAAUUAUUGAUGUCACCUCCAAUAUUGAGGAAGGUUGAUUAUAAGUGCAAUAGACCAGUGAUUCUUACUAUGGACACUAGUCCAAUUGCCAUUGGAUGGACUGUGGAUCAAGAUGAUUCAAGUGAGAAUAGAUUUGUAGUUCGAUUAGGAGCUAAAGUUUUAAGAAUUGAUGAGCGUGCAUAUUCGCAAGUCAAAAGAGAACUUUGGGGAGUUGUUUCGGCUAUAAAAGCUGAAAAGGACUAUUUUAUUGGAGUAGUAGUAGUAAUUGAAACAGAUUGCUUGCCAUUGCUUGGAAUGAUUACUAACUGUUCAACGCCAGAUAUUGCAAUGUUGAGAUGGAUUGCUUAUAUUAAGUCACUAAAUCUAGAAUUUAAGCAUGUUACUGGGAAGGACAAUUUAGUAGAAGACAUGCUAUCUCGAGCAAGAUACGAGAGGGAGGACGAAAUGGUUGAAGACAUUGAUGAUGUCGGAUUGAAAUUCUAUUCAAUAUCAAAUCUCAAUAGAGAAGACAAGCUAUUUCUUGAAGAAUCUUAUGAAGGAGAAUUAUUGGAUAUUGGUCAUUACUUGAAUACCUUGACUAAGCAAGGGAAUUGGUCUACAAAAAAAUUCAAACAAAUAAGAAAAAAAGCAUAUGGAUUUUUGCUUCAAGAUGGAUUCUUAUGAAAGAGACCAAAGAAAGGAAUUGGAAUGUCACAACGAGUGAUAGGCAAAAAGGAAGAAAAACUAAAAUUAUUAUAAGAGUUUCAUGAUAGUUUAUGGGCAGGGCAUAGAAGAAUCUGGGCUACUUUUGCUAAACUCAAGGAACGAUAUUGGUGGAAAUAUAUGUAUUGAGAUGUGCUCUCAUUUGUAGAGUCAUGUGAAAUCUGUCAAUCGUAUUCUAAUAUCCGACAUCGAGAUGGUCUUCAUCCUACGUAUCCUUUGACUAUUCAUUUUAAAUGGGUUGUUGAUUUGGUUAUUAUGCCAGUUGGGUUAUGGCAAAUGAGAUAUUUGGUUUUAGCUCGUGAAGAUUUAUCAAAUUAAAUAGAAGGAAGAGCAUUGAGGAUAAAAUCUACACAGGGAAUUUGUAGGUUUUUACUUGAAGAUGUCAUUUGCCGCUACGGAUGCAUAGGAAAAAUCACUGCAGAUCGUGGAGAAUUAAAUGCACAAGAAGUUUGUAAGUUCUUUGAAAGAUGUGGAGUUAAACUAUCACUGACUACUGCUUAUAAUCCGGAAGAGAAUGUAAAAAGCGAACGCGGUCACCCACCGAUUGUGAAAGCAUUAGUUAAAGCUUGUAAUGGAAAAGUUAGAGAGCAGCCACGGCUUUUGUCAUUUGCAUUAUAGGCUGAUCGAACAACACAUAGUUCGGUUAGAGGAUAUAUGCCAGUAGAACUUAUGACAGGUCGAAAACCAAUUAUGCUGAUUGAAGAAAGGCUACUUACUUGGAGUAUGCUACCAUUGGAAGAUGGAUUGACAAGAGAAGAUCUUCUGGCUAUUAGGAUUCGUCAAUUGGAGCAAAGAUCGGAAGAUGAGCAGAUAGCAUUAAAAAGGUUAAAAAGAGCAAGGUUACAAAACAAGGCGCGAUUCGAUAAGCAACAUCGAUUAAGACCUAAAGUAAUUGAAGGAGGUGAUUGAGUACUUGUUUAUGAUAGUAGUCUGGACAGCCAAUAUAGCACUUUAUGGAAGUUUUCAAAACAUUGGUUUGGACCGUAUGUGGUAACAACUGUUCAUGAUAAUGCGACUUAUUCAUUGCGGGAGUUAGAUGGCACAAGGUUAAAAAUACCAAUUGCAGGGAAGAGAGUGAAAUUGUUUAAACAAAGAAAUGUAGAAAUAAAUAUUGAAGACCAUAAUGAAGACAUAGAUACUCCGCAGUGGGAAGAUGAAAUUGAUUUGGAUAGCAGAGACGGUGGAGAUGGACUAGACUAAGAUUUAGAGAACAUAUUAUGAAUCAAACGACAACUAGGUUAAUUGGUGCAUAAUGGAGGAUGCACAAGUUCGGAGGGGGUGGAUGUCGUAUUGUAACACGUCUAUAUGAUGAAAAUAUAAAUGAAGAAGAUUUAUUAAUAUUUAGUCACCUUCGAUGUUAAAAGCGGUGGCCAAUUCCAGUGCAAAUACUGAGAGGUCAGGUUCAGUCACCCCGUUUCAGUCAACCGGGACAUAUUCACCAGUAACAAAAUGCUCCAUUCGAUUUGAAUAAUGGGAGUCAGCAGAAAGGGAAAGGACCAAUUCAACAACGGGUGAGUCUGGUUUGAAGAGCCAAUUAGAUCCAAUUUUAGAAGACUUCUAAUCCAGGUCCUAUUACUGGCCUCUUACCCAUUAUGAGAUCUAACUUGGUCGAGCAACUCAAUGUGGUCCAAUUACGGGGCUUCGAUUCCGUUUCAGGCUGUUCCAUUCUUUGUGCCAUUCCAAGAACGUCCUUUCGGUAAAAAGAUCUCUUAAACGUAAAAAUGGGGAAGAAAGCUCCAUUGGCUGUUCCAAUUCAGGGAGUCCAAGGUAGAAGAAUAGGAUCUUCUCAGGGUUAAAGGAGAGGAUAGGUUAAGAAAUAAAAGAGGGGAGAAUUAAGGUUUUUAAGGGUCAGAGAGCUAGCUUCAUACUUCGUGGAAAAAACAGAGAAUUGGGGUUUUUUUUCUUCAUAUGGUUUUGGGAAGACUGAGGCAAUCAUUGUUGAAAGUGAUUGUUGUAUUGGUGAACUGGAUUUUUUUUCCGAAAGAGAAAAAAAUCUAAUACUCUUUAUUGUUGAUGGAAUGGGAGAUAUUUCUGUGGUUGAAAUUCAGAGUUGUCUAAGAAGGUUGAGUAUGCUGAAUGCAUUCGUGGUUGUGUUAAUCUAACUGUAUGGAUAGAGGAUAUCUGCCAACAGUUUAAAGAGGUAUUAGGAGUUGGCAAAUUGGGAGAUUGUUCAGGAUUUCUAUGAUAACUGAGGACCUACCGACAGGGAUAAGAGGAAUAUCAGCGAG